rnacentral:rRNA from 1 species
AGCGUAGACGGCUGUGCAAGUCUGAAGUGAAAGGCAUGGGCUCAACCUGUGGACUGCUUUGGAAACUGUGCAGCUAGAGUGUCGGAGAGGUAAGUGGAAUUCCUAGUGUAGCGGUGAAAUGCGUAGAUAUUAGGAGGAACACCAGUGGCGAAGGCGACCUACUGGGCACCAACUGACGCUGAGGCUCGAAAGCAUGGGUAGCAAACA